AAAAUAGUUCAGUGGUAGAGCGUUUGCCUUUUGUGCAGAAUGUCCCAGGUUCGAUUCCUGGUUGUCCGUUA
rnacentral:tRNA from 1 species